CUGAUUAUUGAUUAACCUGGUGUGGGUUUUUCCCAGAGAUUGCAGCCUUGAGACCCUGUUAGACACAUUCCUGAAGGCACACCCUGCUCUUCUAAGAUGCAUGUAUCAGCAACUUCAACACAAUUCUUAUCAGGAAGGAUACGGGGUCAAGCUGCCCUUUCUGUGGCACCCAAAACCCCCUCCUUCCUUGGUUAAGCUAAGCCUGCUGACUUGGCUGCUUUUAGCAAUAAGCAAAGGUGGGUUCAGGCACUUUACUGGUUUGCUGACAUCUCCCUGUACACUGGACAGGUACAGCUGGACCUUGCGUGCUGUGUGAACAAUCGGAUUUGUAAAGCUGUUUUGCAUAAUUUUUGGUUGUGGGAUUGCCUGAUGCAGUGCUGACAACUCUUGUGUCUCCACUGGUAGCAUACUGAAUUUCUGUAACAAGGGAUCAAUAAGGAAGACAAAAUGCAGCUCAUCCUCUCUCUCUCUCUUUCUUCCACCUGUGGAAAUACAGCUUCCUAGACCCUGGAUUCACUACUAGUGAUGAGAAAAACCGCUUGUUAAACAAUAAGAACUCCUCAUUCUAUCCUUUGCUCCUUUUUGGAAUCAAGUGUGAGCUAAACUCACUUGGAGGUUCUGAAAUGCUCAUCUAACUCCUUUCUGCUCAAUAUUUUUCAGGUGGUAGGAAGGAUGGCUUUGUGGAGAGCUGGAGCUGAAUCUACACUUCUUGAUCCAAGCAGCCCUGAACUUUGGGGGAAGUUUGGAUCCACAUCCAGAUUAGAAACUCAUCCCUUGAUUUCAUCUGUAAACGGCUGAACCUUUGGCCCAACUCUAGUCUUGUGGUUAAGACACAGGAGUGGGACUGGGGUCCUGGAACAGGACGCAUCUCUGCCAUAAGUUUCUUGUGUGACGUUGGGGAAAUCCUUUGAUCUCUGUUCCUCAGUUUCCAUAUCUGUAUCAUGGGGAAAUAUGUCCCCACCUCACAGGAGAGUUGCACAGCUUAAUUAAUUAAGAUUAUGAAAGUGCUUUGAGAUCCUCAAAUGGGAAGUGGUAUAUAUAAGUGUGACAUAUAAUUAAUAUUAUUGUGCAUUGCCAGGAUUCAGCAAGGACCAGAACUGGAAUGGCUGCCCAGAACACCACAAGAAAGGCUGUUUUGGGAUUUAUGGCCUAACCAGAACAAGGAAGUAUGGAAACUCUAGUGAGAGAACCUUCUUUAACAGACUGGGUAGCUGUCAUGAUAAUCUUCAGAUCCGGAGAGCGGGUACUAAGCAGCUGCCUAGAGUGGUAGAUUCUGCCUAGGUUGACAGCGCCAGCCCGGCCAAACCUGAGUGGCGCUCGGACCCCAUGCACCAGGAUGCAAUGCCAUUUACUUGGAUGUGGGUGGCCACCCCCCAUACCCCCUCCCUAGGUCAUGACAGAAGGGUGGCCAGGUCAAACCUGAGGGAGUGGUGCUGUCACCUGGCGCUUAGCCCUCUCCCCCCCUACACACACACUUCUGCCGUAACAACUGAACCAUCAGAAGGCUCGCUGAGCCUCCCCAGAAAGUCCAGUGCGCACCCUGGUUGAGGACCUCUGUUGAGGACCACACUGAAGUUUUAGGUGGCAGAUUGUCUUGAGCAGCCUCUGCUGGAGCAGGAUUCUGGACAUCUGCUAUGUUUCCCCAGCCAGCUGAGGGAUAAUUCCCCUGGCGCAGGCACGGUGUAGCACAGCCACUGGUGUCCUCGCAAGUGCCAGUGCAGGGAUCCAUGGGGGCUAGGACAAGAGUAGGUGACAUGUCAAAGGCAUGACUGUAGCAGGCUGCAGCACAUGCCACUACAGCCUCUCUGUGCAGAUCCAGAUUGUGCAGCUGCCCCACAGUCAGUCCAAAUAGGGCUGCUGUGACUUAGAGCCAAUUCCUGGGCUGCUUAAGACACGGCGGGGUGGGGACGUGGGGGGGGCAUUUCGACCCUCAACUGGCACAGAUUCCUAAGGGCACAAGGAAAUGUAAAACCAUCUAAUGGACUGAACCUGUGUGUGUCACAUCUCCUGGGGGCACCGCAUACAACCUCACUCUUAGGGCUGGUCUACACUACAUAGUUAGGGCUACGUAAAACAGCUUAUGUCGACCUAAUUAUGUCAGUGUACACACUACAGCCUUCCUCCCAUGGAUGCAAGGGCCCUGCUACACCAACCUAAUAACUCCACCUCGCCGGAGGCGUAAGGCUUAUGUUGGUGUAGUUAGGGCGACGCAGUGUCUGUGUAGAUACUGCAUCCCCUAAAUCGGCUGUCUUGUCAAUUUCACAGCAGGAGCCAGGAAAUUGACAAGAAAGACCCCCACUUCCCUGGAGAGCUGGACAGCUGGACCCUGAUCCCAGCUGGGAGCCAGGAAAAGAAGCCAGAGUGGCUUCUACCCUAAUACCAGCUGGGAAGCAGUGAAAUUGACAAGGCUGCCCGGCUCCCUGUGGGGAGUGGGCAGGGGGGCCAAGAAGCUCCUGGCAGCUACCUUUCCACACCCCUUGGGGAGCAGAGGGGCAAGAAGCCCCAGGUGGCUUCCCCUGACUCUCGGCAGGGAACAGGGAGGCAAGGGGGGGCAGCCCACUGGGACCCCGGGAGCCUGUGGGGCAGCCAGGGUACUGACAGGGAGCUGCCAGCAGAGCUGAGAUCGGGCUCUCCUCUGCCUCCUCUUACGUUGGUGGAAGUUCUCCUGGUGAGGACAUGCACCACCGACCCCAGAAGGGUAGUGUAGACAUGCACCAACACAGUAACUGCUGCCGUGGCUGUAAGUUGACCUAAUAUAGGUUGAUUUAGGUUUGUAGUGUUGACAUACCCUGAGACUUUGAGGUGCUUCUCUAACUCAAAUGUUGAUUGUGAGUUUUUGAUGUUCCUCUGUCACUCUUUUGUUCCACUGGACAAACUUCUACCCUGGCCUGGCUUGGGAGAAAUGCCUCUGACAAAUCCAGGCACAGAGCUAUGUCCCAGCUAUCAUCUAUCCAAAUGUUAAAUAUUGCAAAAGACAUCGGAGACUCAGAGAACAUUAAUUACAGCCCAUUAUCAGCAGGUGCCAGAAGAAACUGAAGCGAGCACACAAUGCUGUAUCAUUUGGUUAACAACAGGCCCUUUCUAGAUUUACAAUAAUCUAUCAAAGAGUCGCUGUAUCUGUGAAGAAGUGGUUCUGCACAGAAAGGUCAUCCAGCCAUGGGCAUGUAAUUGUCCUGAGAAGCAUAAACUGGAGCUGAGAGAGCUGGAAAACCUCCCCAGUAAACUCUUCUUAGGAAAGGUAUCUGUGUCACAGUUUCUUAACUUGCAACCUUAAUAGGCUUCAUUAGUAUUAUCUAGUCAUGUUUAUUACAGCAGUGCCUAAGGGCCAAACAAGAGCAGGGCCCCAUUAUGCUAGGCGCUGUACAAACGCAGAACGGUCCCUGCCUAGUGAUCUUACAACCUAAAUAGAUGAGACUGACAUAGGGGAAGGGAAGGGGUAUCACACACAAGCAGGGUGAACAAUGUGAUGGCAGGAAACAUAACUUUAGUGCCACGUUUUUGCAGGGGGGGUUAGUUAGGAGAAUAACCCCGACUCUUGGAGCAAGGGGGGGUUAGUUAGGAGAAUAACCCCGACUCUUGGAGCAGUGAGACUCUGGUGGGCCCUAUCCAAAGGACUGCAACUAAGAUGACUACCUGAGCCCUCUGACUUCAUUCCCAGCAUGCCUGGAGCCAGGGUGGGAAGCAGAAAGAACUAGAAACCUCUGUUUGGGCCAGUAGGGAGGCUUCUGCAUGAGGAGAUCUGCACAAGCUGGCCAUUGGACCGGUGACAAUCCAGAGCUGCUCAGACAGGGUUAGUUUCUGUUUGGAAGCUGGGAGAGAAACAGCUCAGCUGAGAGAGUGCCGGCUAAACUCUCACUUCCCCCAAGGGGAAUUCUUGCACUGCUGUGAGACCAAGCUGCAUGGACCAGGCCGUUCAGCACUGCCAUGAACAGCAUCCAAGGAGAGAGUGAGCGCCAACCCAGCACCAGCUACUGAGCGACAGCUCAGACCUGCACAGACUUUCAGACCUGGCAAUCCAGGAGGAGUUCAGAGAGGACCCUGCCCCACCCAGGGGCGAAGACCUUUUGUUCAAACCGAACAAUGCCACAGCACUGCAGCAGUUCAUCUCAGGACAUGAAACCUCAGGGUACCAUUCGCCUAGGGACGUGCCGUAGGAAUGUGUCAGCGGGAGAGCUGGGCUUUGGAGGCAUUGUGAGGGUUAAGAAGUGGGAGGUUGGUUUGUUUAUCAAUGUUUAUUAAUUAUUAGCUAACCAGAAUCCCUUCCUUUCCAGAUCCUAUUUUCUGGAGGGAAAGGGGGAUGAAGAGGACAGGGCUGGAGAGAUGAGGGAAAGAGGGACAGGUGUGGAAUGAAGCUGAUGUGAAGAGACUGUGAAGGAAGGCUCUGCAUCUAUUUUCUCUUGACUAUAGAGCAAUCAAUAUGCUGGCACAAAGGCUUUGGGAUAAUUCAUAAGCAACAACCUGUAGCAAUUUGCAGAUUGAUUUGGAUUGCCUAAAUCGUUCUGAUGAAAGCGGAGGGGAAGAUUCAAAAUGCCUCGAAUUAAAAAAAAAAAAUCCUUCCACCUUACAAAAUCACUGUGGGUCAAAUCCA